ACGCAAUUAGAAAAUUCAAUGCCACAGUAACCAAAAAACGGCAACAAAAAGCUUGGAAUGAAGUGUUAGAAGAAAUAAAUCUUUCGUUCCCCAAAGAAAAGCCAAAAAAUGGCACAGAAAUGAAAAAAAAAUUGAAUAAUUUGAAGACUGCUGCCAAACUAGACAAAGCGCAACACAAGAAAUCUAGGACUGAAACGGGUGGAGGUGUAGAACAUGUUAUGAAGCCGAUACAUGCUAAGAGGUAUGAGCAUAUUUUUGGAAAAUAAAAUCCUUGUUUGCCUGGAAGUAUGAUUGAGGGGUGUGUGAAAAGUGAAACCGCUUAUGGUUUGCCGUACCGUGCUUUCUCCGAAAUCCAAGAGACGUCGACCGAAUAUGAACUAACAGUUAAUAGGGAUGAAUAUAUUCCUGGGACAAAUUUUGAAUUCACAACCCUUGCGGCUGUACAAACUUUAGCAACUGACAGGAGUGAAAAUGAUAUUGAAACGGGAGACAUUAGGGUGUCCCAUAUUUAGGCUUUUUUUUAUUUUUUGAAUUUUUUUUUUAUCGGGGUGUGUUUUUUGAAGAAAAACGUCGUAGUGCUAUUCAUUUUAAAAAAAAAUAAGUCUAGGGGUCCCCGUAGGCGAAAAACCGCCAAAAAGUGCCAAAAACUACGAUUUUUGGUACUAAAAAAUUAAAAAUAAAUACUUAGGUUUCAUA